GAUGAACGCUGGCGGCGUGCUUAACACAUGCAAGUCGAGCGGAAGGGCGAUACUCUUGCUUCGUUGUCGUUAGCGGCGCGCGUGAGUGAAACAUGUGUAAAACCCACUUAUCAGACGGGGAAAACUUCGGAAAACGGGAGCUAAUACCGGAUAAUAUUUUGAGCCACAUGGUUCAAGAGUGAAAGACGGUCUUGCGGUCACUUAUAGAUGCAUCCGCGCUUCAUUAGCUAGUUGGGAAGGUAAAGGCUUACCAAGGCGACCAUGCGUGGCCGAACUGAGAGGCUGAUCGGCCACACUGGAACUGAGACACGGUCCAGAGUCCUACGGGAGGCAGCAGUCUGGAAUGGUCCGCAAUGGGGGAAAGCCUGACGCAGCGACGCCGCGUGAGUGAUGAAGGCCUUGGGUUCGUAAAGCUCUGUUAUUAGGGAAGAACAGAUGUCUAAGGAGAUGUGCAGAUAUUGACGGUACCUAAUCAAAAAGCACCGGCUAACUACGUG
rnacentral:rRNA from 1 species